rnacentral:rRNA from 1 species
ACGGGAGGCAGCAGUGGGGAAUAUUGCACAAUGGGCGCAAGCCUGAUGCAGCGAUGCCGCGUGAGGGAAGAAGGUUUUCGGAUUGUAAACCUCUGUCAUCGGGGACGAUAAUGACUGUACCCGAGAAGGAAGCUCCGGCUAACUACGUGCCAGCAGCCGCGGUAAUACGUAGGGAGCGAGCGUUAUCCGGAAUUACUGGGUGUAAAGGGAGUGUAGGCGGGACUGUAAGUCAGAUGUGAAAUAUGCCGGCUCAACUGGCAGACUGCAUUUGAAACUGCGGUUCUUGAGUGAAGUAGAGGUAAGCGGAAUUCCCAGUGUAGCGGUGAAAUGCGUAGAGAUUGGGAGGAACACCAGUGGCGAAGGCGGCCUGCUGGGCUUAAACUGACGCUGAGGCACGAAAGCAUGGGUAGCAAACAGGAUUAGAUACCCUGGUA